UUUCAUAAAAUUGGUACGAAAUACUUUGUUGAACUUCAAUAAAAACUACAGGCCAUCAGAGUUUGUUAUUUUAAAAGCUAAAAUCAUUGUGUCGAAAUCACCCCCAAGGUGUCGAUUACACCCCAUCAUGGUGACUAUCGUACUGCACUACAGUCGUGACGCAACAAAAAACACAUUCUUUUAUUUUUAUCAAAAUGUUAUCAAAAUCAAUCCAGGAACCGUAGUUUCUCGUAAGAAAGUACAUAAUACAUCAAAAAAGCUUUUUCGAUGUCUACUAGUAAGUUUACAUAGGCAAAAGUAUUGCAAUCAGGGGAAAACCUUAAGGUGUCGAAGUUCCCCAGUUCCCCUAAGGCAGCCUAGGUAACCACUGACAUACGUCGAGGUCGGCUAAAGUCUGGUGAGACUAUAAGGUAAGGUCGUAAAGUGGUGAGACUAUCAGGCCUAUUAUUUUACUCGAAUGACAUUCGAUUCCGUCGGAAGCACUCGAGUCGAGCGGGAGAAAAAUUGGUAUCGUGUUCGCCAUUCGAAUCGAUGAAGGUUUCGUCGACAUUUUUGUUCUAGCAUCUGUGUGUUUGACAGUUGGUCGAAGCAACCGGCGGUCGGAGUGAGUGUAAACAAACGGAUUCAGCACUUCUUUAAAAUCAUUUUUUACCAUAAUUUUGUUGGAAAUGGUGUAAAUAUGAGUGAUGAGUGACAUGAUUACACACAUAGACAGUGACUUAAAUUAUUUGUGAGUUUAAAUUAGCGCGUUUCCGACAGCUUGAGCUGUCGACAGCUUGAGAAAAUCUCUCGAAUGCACCUUCCUGAUCGAGCAAUACGGUACCGAUUUUUACUUCGUCGACUCGAAUCUACCGAUGAGUUACUCGAAAUGGAACGUCGCUAGCAAAACGAUACGAAAAUGAAAAAAAUGAACGUGCGAGUGAAUCUUCUCGAAUGCCGAACGCAAUAUAAUAGGCCUGAAUAAGGUCUGUUGUGAGACUGUAAUGUGAGUCGAACGGAAAAGAGUCAAACAAACCCAUUCCAAACAAACGGAAAUUUUAAUGGUAAUAUAUAGACUUGUUAGAGACUUCAUAAGCUUCGUUGAAUAUAUCAGAGCGUGUAUUUAGCGCUAUACAAAUUUAGCUCUAGAUAAGUUGAAAUUUGUAUAGAUUUCGAUUAGAUUAAUUUCGAUCCCAUCUCAAUUAUAUCCUGAAUCCCUAUAAAUAUUUAUUUCGUUAAUCCAGGACAUUUCUGUCAAAGGUGUUGGUAUAAAUUUGUUUAACAGGCGUGGUCUAUUCUGAACUCGAUUCGAUUCGAAUCGAGAAAAUGAACACCUAAGUGAACUUUUCCAAAAAAUUUACACACAAAGUUCAUCAACUCGACGUCGAGAAGACUCGAUUAUAAGAAUAGAAUACGCCUGUUUAUUAAUAUAAAACCGAUAAGCAAUACGGCAAAUCCGUCCCUCUUUAAUAAAAAAAAAUAAAACCGAUUCUACACACAGGGCAGUACGUGAAAUCGCCUCUAUUUGAUUUUUUUAGGUCUAGGAUGAACUAGGUUUAAAAAUUGUGUUAAGAUAGGAUAUUAAGGUUAAGGUAAAACUCUCGCUUCUAUUAAUAGAACAAGCUACAACAGUGUAUCAGAAUAUAACAAGAAAGUGAAGCCCCAAAAUAGGAUGUAUAAGAAAAAUAACCUGUAAAGCAUACGUGCUACAUCUUGUAAAACUUGGAAAAUCAACUAUAAAGGAAAUAAAAGUACAAAUAUACGUUUAACGUUUAACUAACUAAAUCCGUAAAACAGGAAACUUUCCGUCACUCUGAUCUGACCUCAUGUCCACAAACUGCCUUCGCUCACUAUUCCUAUCCCAUUUCUACAUUCCACAACGUCUGUCGCUCAUCAGGGUGUUAGUAAAUUCUCACUUGCCACACGAAGAGAUUUCUCCUGCUCACUUCGUGUGUUUGAUUCUACCCAUCUCUGUUGAACACAAGUCAUUUUCAUCCAUCGCACUCAUCAGGGUGUUUGCUCUUUUCCAUCCAAGCUAAAGAGCGACUUCAGUGUGCUCUGAACCGUGGACGUGAGAGUGUGUGUUUGUGUGCUGCGUGAACUAUUUUUCCUGCGAAAAAAACUUUCUAGCACUUCACCAUCGGCAGUAUUCUAUCUGCUUCAUCGGAGGACGCAUUUUUAUCAUCUAAUUGUUUCGAUGUGUACUGCUACCGCUAGCUGUCCCCCACUCUCUUCAGAAGUGAAACGCUACUGGCAUCGCGAAAGAAAUGGUUUAAAAUUAACAGUCGUUAAAAAUUCACCAAUGUAGUUAAAAAUUGCUGGAUUUUAGCAUCGCGAACGCAUUGAGUUCAUUUGUUAAUUUUAACGACUGGUCCUAUGCCGUCGUUAUACAAACGACUGUCAAGAGCGAAUGCGAUACAAAUUAACAGUCGUUUAAUUAUACUGCUCGAUUUUUUUUCCCCGUGUUUGCCUAUAUGCGAUAUCGAGCAGUCGUUAACUGUUUUGACGAUCGUUUAUUUUAACAGGAAUGAACAACAAAUGAACUCAGUUAAACUAAAAUGAACUAUAAACAACUGUUAAAAAGAGUUCAUUUAUUCGCGAUGCCGGCUACUGUGUGCACAAGCGUUCAAAGUCGUUGAAUAAUUGAUCCUCAAGCACAAAGCCUUCAUACAACACUGCGGUCGAGGCGCGCCAAAUCUCAUGACAUCUUCCCUGAACCAAGCAGGCUGAACACGCGCACCACCAAACGGGUUACAGCGCGGUGUGAAGAAGGAGGAAGAAGAGAAGGCAGAACUGGAAACAUCCACGCCAAUUUACCAACCACCGUGUGUGUAUGUAAAUAUGUGAGAACACAUGUGUGAAUCCUCUUGUGUAAAAGCAAACUGCAAAAAGAAGAAAACAUCUAGUGUGAAGCAGCUAGGCUGCCGCAACCAAA